GUGAAAAUAGGGUUUGCAUUUUAUUUCCUGUCUCAUUCCAAAAUGAAUCUAUAGCUGCUAAAUAUGAGCUAAGCUAUGCCUGAGAAGAUGACUAGGAUUUAAGGAUGAGGUAGGUGUUUCAGGUUAGGAAAGCAGCUAUUUGUGGACUGUAAGGCAGACUUGUUCCUGGGCAGAAGCAGUGAGCUGACUAAAUUGGUGGAUGGAUCUGGAGAUGGGUUAGAUGGGGAAUGCUGUGUGAGUGUUUCCCACAGAGCGAGGUGGCAUCUGCCUAGCUGGAGGGCUGGCAGCACACCGAAUCUGCCUGCAGUGGAUUUUGAAACGUGGAACUGUGGCUAGUGGGAUGUCAAACAGACUGAGAGCUGCUUGCCAUGAUGGAGAUGAGGAAUGUAAGUCCAGCAUGGUGAAAAUGGUCUUGGAACCACAUGUCUUGCUUGAGUCAGUAUUCUUCAAGCACAAAAGAGAGCACCCCUCCCCUCUCCCAGGUCUGAAGUCCUAUAGACCUCCAAGAAGAAAAUGCCUGCAACCCAGAAAAGGGCAGGAGAUAAAGAGCUUUGGGAAGGCCAAGCUACAGGGCAGAAGCCUCUGUGUUCCUGAGUCAUAAUUUGGAAGAGAGCUGCUCAGAAGAGCCACUCAACCCAUACCACAUUGUGAUGAGAUACAAACACUGAUGACUGAACCACUGAGCAUCUGAGGUUCAUUUGUAACCUAAGCUUUUCCUAUAUUGAUUAAUACGUUGGCAAU
rnacentral:lncRNA from 1 species